UACGGGAGGCAGCAGGGGGGAAUAUUGCACAAUGGGCGCAAGCCUGAUGCAGCCAUGCCGCGUGUAUGAAGAAGGCCUUCGGGUUGUAAAGUACUUUCAGUCGUGAGGAAGGUGUUAAGGUUAAUAACCUUAGCAAUUGACGUUAGCGACAGAAGAAGCACCGGCUAACUCCGUGCCAGCAGCCGCGGUAAUACGGAGGGUGCGAGCGUUAAUCGGAAUUACUGGGCGUAAAGGGCACGCAGGCGGUUAAUUAAGUUGGAUGUGAAAUCCCCGGGCUUAACCUGGGAAUGGCAUUCAAGACUGGUUAGCUAGAGUCUUGUAGAGGGGGGUAGAAUUCCAUGUGUAGCGGUGAAAUGCGUAGAGAUGUGGAGGAAUACCGGUGGCGAAGGCGGCCCCUGGACAAAGACUGACGCUCAUGUGCGAAAGCGUGGGGAGCAAACGAGGGAUUAGAUACC
rnacentral:rRNA from 1 species